GCGGGUAUAGUUUAGUGGCAAAAUUCCUCCUUGCCAAGGAGAAGACGCGGGUUCGAUUCCCGCUACCCGCC
rnacentral:tRNA from 1 species